rnacentral:rRNA from 1 species
AUUGAACGCUGGCGGAAUGCUUUACACAUGCAAGUCGAACGGCAGCACGGGGGCAACCCUGGUGGCGAGUGGCGAACGGGUGAGUAAUACAUCGGAACGUGCCCGGUCGUGGGGGAUAACGUAGCGAAAGUUACGCUAAUACCGCAUACGAUCUGAGGAUGAAAGCGGGGGACCUUCGGGCCUCGCGCGAUCGGAGCGGUCGAUGUCAGAUUAGGUAGUUGGUGGGGUAAAGGCCUACCAAGCCGACGAUCUGUAGCUGGUCUGAGAGGACGACCAGCCACGCUGGGACUGAGACACGGCCCAGACUCCUACGGGAGGCAGCAGUGGGGAAUUUUGGACAAUGGGCGCAAGCCUGAUCCAGCCAUUCCGCGUGCAGGACGAAGGCCUUCGGGUUGUAAACUGCUUUUGUAUGGAACGAAAAGGCUCUGGCUAAUACCUGGGGCUCAUGACGGUACCGUAAGAAUAAGCACCGGCUAACUACGUG